rnacentral:rRNA from 1 species
UACGAAGGGGGCUAGCGUUGCUCGGAAUCACUGGGCGUAAAGAGCUCGUAGGCGGUUCCGUAAGUCGGAUGUGAAAAAUCUGGGCUCAACCCAGUGGAGCACCCGAUACUGCGGUGACUCGAGUCCGGUAGGGGAGUGUGGAAUUCCUGGUGUAGCGGUGAAAUGCGCAGAUAUCAGGAGGAACACCGACGGCGAAGGCAGCACUCUGGGCCGGUACUGACGCUGAGGAGCGAAAGCAUGGGGAGCGAACAGG